UCGAGAGGGAAACAGCCCAGAUCAUCAGCUAAGGCCCCUAAGUGGUGACUCAGUGGGAAAGGAUGUGGAGUUGCGAAGACAACCAGGAGGUUGGCUUAGAAGCAGCCACCCUUGAAAGAGUGCGUAAUAGCUCACUGGUCAAGUGAUUCCGCGCCGAUAAUGUAGCGGGGCUUAAGUUAUCCGCCGAAGCUGUGGCAACCUGUGUGGUUGGGUAGGGGAGCGUCGUGUCAGUGGUGAAGCUGCCGGGUGACUGUGUGGUGGAGUUGAUGCGAGUGAGAAUGCAGGCAUGAGUAGCGUGUGACGGGUGGGAAUCCCGUCCGCCGAUUAUCCAAGGGUUCCAGGGUCAAGUUUGUCUGCCCUGGGUGAGUCGGGUCCUAAGGCGAGGCCGACAGGCGUAGUCGAUGGAUAACCAGUUGAUAUUCUGGUACCGGCUUGUCACCGUCCGUGUCGAGGUGUGUGAUGCUAAGCAUGUGAGCUUGUCUUGGGAGUGUUUUUGAUGCUUCUGGGGUGGGUGAGUGUGUGAACCGAUCAUGUAGUAGGCAAGCUGCGGAGGGACGCAGUGAGGUAGCUCAUCCCCGGUGAUGGUUGUCCGGGGCUAAGUGUGUGGACUGUCUGGUAGGUAAAUCCGCUGGGCGUGAAGGUUGAGGCAUGAUGGGGAGCCCAUGGUUGUGGGUGAGUGAGUGAUCCUGUACUGUCGAGAAAAGCUUCGUGAGCGAGGUGGCGGGUCCGCCCGUACCCUAAACCGACACUGGUGGAUAGGUAGAGUAUACCGAGGCGAUCGAGUGAAUCGUGGUGAAGGAACUCGGCAAAAUGCCCCCGUAACUUUGGGAUAAGGGGGACCUGAGCUGUCGUGCACCCGUGCGGUGUGGUGGCGGUGAGGGGCGCAGAGUCCAGGGGGAAACGACUGUUUACCAAAAACACAGGUCCGUGCGAAGUCGUAAGACGAU
rnacentral:rRNA from 14 species